rnacentral:rRNA from 2 species
AAACCAACAGGGAUUGCCUCAGUAACGGCGAGUGAAGCGGCAAAAGCUCAAAUUUGAAAUCUAGUACCUUUGGUGCUCGAGUUGUAAUUUGAAGAUAGUUUUCUGGCAUUGGCCCUUGUCUAUGUUCCUUGGAACAGGACGUCAUAGAGGGUGAGAAUCCCGUCUGAUGGGGUGUCCAAUGCUUUGUAGAUUUCUAUCGAAGAGUCGAGUUGUUUGGGAAUGCAGCUCUAAGUGGGUGGUAAAUUCCAUCUAAAGCUAAAUACUGGCGAGAGACCGAUAGCGAACAAGUACAGUGAUGGAAAGAUGAAAAGAACUUUGAAAAGAGAGUGAAAAAGUACGUGAAAUUGUUGAAAGGGAAGGAUAUUGGAUCAGACUUGGUGUUUUGUGAUUAUCUUCCCUUCUUGGGUUGUGCACUCGCAUUUCACUGGGCCAGCAUCGGUUCGGAUGGCAAGAUAAUGGCUUGGGAACGUGGCACCUUUC